AAAGAAAAUGAAAUUGAUAUUGUACUUCACCUAUUACAGGUUGCUAAUUGUCAUGAAAACUUACUUUCUCUGCUCUCUAGCUUGAGCAAAUUCAUCCUCGUCUCGCCAAAUUACAGGUAGACCUGAUAGGUCGCAGGCCAAAGGGCUUGUGUAAAAGAACUGCAUCAAAAAACAUAAAAAUGUGUUCAGCCUGUGUAUUCAGAAAAAAGAAUUCUGAAGCACCAUGAGAUGAGUCUUCCGCUCAUUUACUUCAUUCUGGAGAGCUGAAGAUGCAGAGCCACGGUAUGCAGGAUCUAGAGCAAGAAGAGUGCUCAAUAGACCCAAAGACGAUUCAGGAAACUCCCCGAAAGCUUCGAAAAGACUAGGUUUGUAAGAUUUUGGAGGCCGGAAGGUUGUAGACAGCCUUAGCUUUUUCCAAUAAUCUUCAGAAGGAGUGCCGCAUAGCUUAAAAAUCCUAUGUAGCUGUUCAACCUCAG
rnacentral:misc_RNA from 1 species